GAUGAACGCUGGCGGCGUGCCUAAUACAUGCAAGUCGAGCGAACAGACGAGGAGCUUGCUCCUCUGACGUUAGCGGCGGACGGGUGAGUAACACGUGGAUAACCUACCUAUAAGACUGGGAUAACUUCGGGAAACCGGAGCUAAUACCGGAUAAUAUAUUGAACCGCAUGGUUCAAUAGUGAAAGUCGGUUUUGCUGUCACUUAUAGAUUGAUCCGCGCCGCAUUAGCUAGUUGUUAAGGUAACGGCUUACCAAGGCAACGAUGCGUAGCCGACCUGAGAGGGUGAUCGGCCACACUGGAACUGAGACACGGUCCAGACUCCUACGGGAGGCAGCAGUAGGGAAUCUUCCGCAAUGGGCGAAAGCCUGACGGAGCAACGCCGCGUGAGUGAUGAAGGUCUUCGGAUCGUAAAACUCUGUUAUUAGGGAAGAACAAAUGUGUAAGUAACUAUGCACGUCUUGACGGUACCUAAUCAGAAAGCCACGGCUAACUACGUG
rnacentral:rRNA from 1 species